AAUGUUUAUUGCCAUCAAAGUUAGAUAUCUUCUCUUUUUUAACAAACCACUGACUAUUUCGCUAACAUGUGGACUAAUUUUACCACUGCCUUUGUUGUACUGAGCGCUUCACUCGUGCUGUCGUCUGCUUUACCAUAUGGCUUUCCUAACUUCCGAUCAUCCUAUCGUGGUGGCUAUGGAUUUGGUGAUAUUGGAGGCACCUAUAGCAGAUUUCCAGGUUUUGGCGGUGCUUAUUCGGCUUUUCCGUCCUAUGGUGGAAUACAACAUCCAUACAAUACAGUAAAUUACCACCGUCAUGUAACGCCGUACACAUACAGAGGAAGAGGUUUCCUGAAUAACUUUCUUAGUGGGUCAACAUUACCUUCAAUGGCUCUAGGAUUCUUAGUUGGAAAGGCAUUAUGAGAUCUAGAGAUACCAAAGACAGUUACUGGAUAUUGCCAAAGACUAGAAGACGUUUUUUAUAUUUAUAAAGUAGAAGUUGUAAAUAAAAAAAAUGCUAUGAAUUAAAUAAUGGUGUAAAUCAA